rnacentral:rRNA from 1 species
UACGGGGGGAGCAAGCGUUGUUCGGAUUUACUGGGCGUAAAGGGCGCGUAGGCGGUUAUGACAAGUCAGUUGUGAAAUCUCCGGGCUUAACUCGGAACGGUCAACUGAUACUGUCAAACUAGAGUGCAGAAGGGGCAACUGGAAUUCUCGGUGUAGCGGUGAAAUGCGUAGAUAUCGAGAGGAACACCUGCGGCGAAGGCGGGUUGCUGGGCUGACACUGACGCUGAGGCGCGAAAGCCAGGGGAGCGAACGGG